GACGAACGCUGGCGGCGUGCUUAACACAUGCAAGUCGAACGGAAAGGCCCUGCUUGCAGGGUACUCGAGUGGCGAACGGGUGAGUAACACGUGGGUGAUCUGCCCUGCACUUCGGGAUAAGCCUGGGAAACUGGGUCUAAUACCGGAUAGGAGCCAUUUUUAGUGUGAUGGUUGGAAAGUUUUUUCGGUGUAGGAUGAGCUCGCGGCCUAUCAGCUUGUUGGUGGGGUAAUGGCCUACCAAGGCGGCGACGGGUAGCCGGCCUGAGAGGGUGGACGGCCACAUUUGGACUGAGAUACGGCCCAGACUCCUACGGGAGGCAGCAGUGGGGAAUAUUGCACAAUGGGCGCAAGCCUGAUGCAGCGACGCCGCGUGGGGGAUGACGGCCUUCGGGUUGGAAACUCCUUUCGCUAGGGACGAAGCUUUUUGUGACGGUACCUAGAUAAGAAGCACCGGCUAACUACGUG
rnacentral:rRNA from 1 species